UGGUAUGGAAUUGAGAUUGCACUGGAUUUCCUUAGUUGCAUAGCAAAUAUAUUCCCUGCUUUGUUAUCUUGACUGUAAGCAUUAUCUCUUGCUCUGAACGAUAGGAAUUGAUUUAUUUUACAACACUAUAACAUGUCAUAAUGGAGCCGAAUGCUGUAAAAGCUUUUCAUUCUUUUCAUUUUGCACUUUGGUUUGGAGAUUAUAUACAUAAUAAUACAUACUAACACACUGCAAAUGAUCUGUUCCUACAUUCAUGAAAUCCAAUAUCCCAGAAAAGGCUUAAAACAAACUCCUCAUUUAUGAAAUGCAUGGAGUUAAUGCAUGAAAUAAGCUUCUGACAGGGAUGCCUGAGAAGUAGCCUGCCUUAAUAUUGGGUCAUUCCCAUGAACUUUGAACAUGCUAUGUUGAACACUGGCAUGUUUCACCAACGUUUACACUUGCCAAUGUUUAGUCUUUUCCUUAUUUGUUGUUCUUAAGUAUUCUGACUCAGUUUUAUUGUUCCUCAUUGAAAAGAAAUGGCACAGUAUGGGGGUGGGGGGAGUUUUCAUUUCAAGCAGACAUCACGUGGAGCUGUCGCACAGGACGAGUGAUUGGAAAAAACAUUGACAGGCACUCAAUGACCAGGAAGAAGCAGGAAACCUUAUGGCUACCCAUUCAGCUGAAGUAGCAAGAAUACCAGAAAAAGAGGACAAGUGAUGAAAAGAAUGAAGGCAUCACUGACCAGCAAGCAUUUAUUGCCUGUCCCAAAUUGCCCAGCGGGCAGUUCAAAGUCAACCACAUUGCUGUGGGUUGUCACAAGUAGGCCAGACCAGUUUUUACGUUUAUGUACAAAUAUGGAACAGUUUGGAUAUUUUCUAAUAAACCUAUUCAGAGAUGUCAUUGCAUGCCUCUGGAGCAGGUGGGACUGGAUUUCAAGCUGUCCUGGAUCAGACACAGGGACAUUGUGACUGCACCACAAGACUUCCUAUUAAACUGUUUAUGAAUUGAUUGUAAUUGUAUUCAUUCAGUUACAAUUUACCAGGAAUAUACUUGGAGAAGCCUGGUUAUAAUGUACAACUUUGUAAGAAUUCUGCAUUAUUUUUAACCUUCUGUGCCCAGAGAUUUUAAUUGUAACAAUAUAGAGUGUGAAUGCUGUGGUGGUAAUGAUGGUGAAACUGUCAGUAUUUUCUGCCAUUGCUCUGCUGAAACUGACAAUUUCCAAUUUCUAGACAUAUGCUGAUCAAGACAGGUAACUCAAAGGCACAAUCAUUGAGACUUUGCUGUUCCAUAAAAGUUAAGACAGACUGAAUUUCCAUUGUAUUUUUGAAAUUGUGAGAACUUUUACUUCCACAAUGUAAAUCUUGCUGUACAAAUCCAUGACAAUGUCACAUCUUGGUAUAAUUAGAUUUUUAAAAGUGUAGUGAUUUCAUAAAUACUGUUAAACACUAACAAGCCUAGGAAAGGUAACUUUCUAGCUUGAAUGAUAAAAAUAAUUCCUCUAGAUGGUAGACACACCACUGACCUGGGUGGUGACUGAGCACCAGGCUGCCAGAAUACAAAGUGUGAGGCUGGAUGAACACAGCAGGCCAAGCAGCAUCUCAGGAGCACAAAAGCUGACGUUUCAGGCCUCGACCCUUCAACAGAGAGGGGGAUGGGGAGAGGGUUCUGGAAUAAAUAGGGAGAGAGGGGGAGGCGGACCGAAGAUGGAGAGAAUAGAAGAUAGGUGGAGAGGAGAGUAUAGGUGGGGAGGUAGGGAGGGGAUAGAUCAGUCCAGGGAAGAUGGACAGGUCAAGGUGGUGGGAUGAGGUUAGUAGGUAGGAAAUGGCGGUGCGGCUUGAGGUGGGAGGAAGGGAUGGGUGAGAGGAAGAACAAGUUAGGGAGGCAGAGACAGGCUGGGCUGGUUUUGGGUUGCA